UGGAAAAAUGUGACCCAGGGUCACAGAGGGAGCUGGUGGCAAAGAUGAGACUUAAAUUCAGGUCUCCCGAUUCCCAGGCCUGCCCUUGUUCUACACCCUGUGUAUUAGUCAGGAUCCAGCAGAAAACGGAUUAAAUUGGGGACAUUUAAAGUGGGGGCUUUGAGGUAGGAUAUAGGGAAACUGCUAUGGAACGUGGAAUAUUCUGGGGCUGGUGACAGUGGGAUCUUACCACCUCUGCACCUGGAGGCAGGCUGUGUGGAGGGCAGGCUUAUUAGAGCUGGGACUUUAAGUCAAGGAGCUCAAAAAGGGAGGAAUAAAAACCAAACCCUGUCUCCACCUUCUCCCUCCCUCUGGUUUUGGUUCCAGACUCCACAUGGACCAAACCCAGCUGGCAGUCAGAGGCCAAGAGCAUCUUGAUGCACGGCAUACUGACCGAUUCCAGGGUGCAGUGCACGAUGGAAAAGGAGGAACGUACCUGAAGACGCAAAUGAAAGAUAUCCAGCAUCACAGGCAACCUUGCUUCUAUUACCAUGGCUGGGGCUUGAUCACUCACAGGAGGAGGAAACUUCUUUGUGUUCUGUUCUUGCACUAUUUGGAGAGUUACCAUCUCAACAAUGCCAACACCCCUAAAACAACAGUCAACAUCAGACACGUAAUCAAGAGCUUCAGCGGGAAGGAUGGCCAAGUUGGAUGCUUUCCAUCAGGGCCAUUCCAGCUGUGA
rnacentral:lncRNA from 1 species